ACAAGAAUGACAACCUGAGGACAACCAUGAGAGCCAGGAACAGGCCGUGAAACUCAGCUUUAAAGGUCAUAUUCCUUUUGGCACCCGAAAGAACAGUGGCCGUAAGUGAUUUGCUUUGCAUUUAUGGCUUUUACCUUGCGUGCAACUGGUAUCACUUACAAACUCCCACAGAGAGUCCCUGCCCCCCUGAACUGUGGUUACGAGCCACUCGCAAGCAGAAGUCUGAAGGCAGCUGUCUGAAAGCUGCAGGAACACCUGAAAUCAGAGGAACUGCUUACCUACCAGAACAGGUUCUACUACCUGAGCGUCUGGCCCAUCAUUUGGUAGGUCUGGGCACCAAUAUCCUUCCUGAACACAGGAGGUGCUGCAAAGGCAAAAGUGGAAGAGCCUAAAAUAAAAUACCCAGUUUUGCAUUCUUUGGACUUCCUGGUGGUAGGGUGGUGAAUUUUUUUUUUUUUUUGUUUAUUUAGAUAUACUAGAAAUGAAUGUAUGCAGUAAACUUCCCAAGAGAUAUAGGGAGAAAUAUUAAACAAUAUUAUUCUUAAUUAGCAAUACAUGAACAUUAUGAGGACUUCAUCAAGCUCAGACUCUCACUCUGCUGGGCUAGGUAAGAAGGCACUUCUUGCUUUCAAGAGAUUAAAACCUGAAGAAACCAAAGAGUCAUCGAAAUC